GUUUGGGUGAUGACUUUUAGCAACUUGUCGGAUACCCCUUCACUCAUGUUAUGAGUGAGAACAAAAGUCUGACAAAC